GUGGGGAAUCUUGCACAAUGGGCGAAAGCCUGAUGCAGCGACGCCGCGUGCGGGAUGAAGGCCUUCGGGUUGUAAACCGCUUUCAGCAGGGAAGAGGCCGCAAGGUGACGGUACCUGCAGAAGAAGCCCCGGCUAACUACGUGCCAGCAGCCGCGGUAAUACGUAGGGGGCAAGCGUUAUCCGGAUUCAUUGGGCGUAAAGCGCUCGUAGGCGGUCUGUUAGGUCGGGAGUUAAAUCCGGGGGCUCAACCCCCGUCCGCUUCCGAUACCGGCAGACUUGAGUUUGGUAGGGGAAGGUGGAAUUCCUAGUGUAGCGGUGGAAUGCGCAGAUAUUAGGAAGAACACCAGUGGCGAAGGCGGCCUUCUGGGCCAACACUGACGCUGAUGAGCGAAAGCUAGGGGAGCGAACAGGA
rnacentral:rRNA from 1 species